ACGUACACUCCUACGGGAGGCAGCAGUGGGGAAUAUUGGACAAUGGGCGCAAGCCUGAUCCAGCCAUGCCGCGUGAGUGAUGAAGGCCCUAGGGUUGUAAAGCUCUUUCACCGGUGAAGAUAAUGACGGUAACCGGAGAAGAAGCCCCGGCUAACUUCGUGCCAGCAGCCGCGGUAAUAUGAAGGGGGCUAGCGUUGUUCGGAUUUACUGGGCGUAAAGCGCACGUAGGCGGACUAUUAAGUCAGGGGUGAAAUCCCGGGGCUCAACCCCGGAACUGCCUUGGAUACUGGUAGUCUUGAGUUCGAGAGAGGUGAGUGGAAUUCCGAGUGUAGAGGUGAAAUUCGUAGAUAUUCGGAGGAACACCAGUGGCGAAGGCGGCUCACUGGCUCGAUACUGACGCUGAGGUGCGAAAGCGUGGGGAGCAAACAGGAUUAGAUACCCUUGUAGUCCC
rnacentral:rRNA from 1 species